UCCUAGCUCUUUAUCUGGAAUUCUUGUGCCUUAUGUCCCAUCUUGUGGAUUAAGGUCAGCUGACCCAGUGAGCAGAACUAACUGUCAUCACAAGCUGCUGAUCUAGCAGCAUGAUGCUCAUUAUUAUUUUAUGGGUUACAGAUGAGUGUUGAUGCUCUGUGUUUGUAUUUUUGCAGUGAGCCUUACAAUCUCACUUCUUUCCACCCACAGUUUCUUCUUAAAACACGUAUUACAUUUACUGUUUUGACGCAUUUUAACGAGCUUCCUCCGCGCCGUGAUUUCAUUGUAGGAUACAAACUUUACAGCACUCUCACGGAGGAAAGGUUCGGCAGAUAUGUUUGUUUACAUUUUAGCCCCUGCGCGUCUACAGUGUUAGGGAAAGGAAGGGAGGGGCUGACGCGAUGCUGCUGUCAGGGUAUCUCUAGGCUCCACAGUAGCAGCGACGGACGGCUGGUUUGACCGGCUCUGAGAGGCGUUAAUCAGAAUUUGCAGAUAGCUUUUUUUCCUUCUACCAAUCGCAUAGUGAUGUUUGGACUUAAAAGCAACUCAUUAAAUUCAUAGUUUUUUGUUAAAGUAAUGCAUUACCAUGAAUAGUAAUGUGUUUACCAACAUUUGUUAUGUAUAUUACUGAUUGCAAAAACACCCCUAGGUCUUUUGUCUUGUCUUUUUACUGAAUAUUUUUCUUUUAUAUAUUUCUGCUUGGUUCCCUGCAGUUUCAAGGAAGAGAGAAGAGCCGGAUGAGAAACCUCUGCUCUUACAUUUCCACAACCAUCAAAUGAAAGACGGAGGUGUACCAACCAGCAGCUUGGCUGGGCAGAUGUCAGCAAAAGUUGAUGGAGGAGCAGAAACUAUCAAGAACCUAGAUCUGGACCCUAAUGAAAAGACAUCCGAUUCUUCAGAGAUUGAAGUUAGUGGAGAAGAUGAAGAUGAUUUGAAUCUAGACUCUGAGCGUUCAGACUCUGGGCCUGAAACUGGAAACGGAGACCAUGGCUGUAAUGAGAACAAGUCUUUGGAGUCAGAUAUUAAGACUGUCAACAAAUCAUUUAGCUGCCCUGUUUGUGAUAUACGGUUCCUCCACAAGUGGUCUCUUCAGGAACAUGUGAGAGUGACAAGUCAUUCAGCAGUAAAGUCUUCAGAGUGUUCGGUUAAUACAAAAUGUGUGAAAGAGAAGCAACAUGGAGGCUCAUGUAGAAAAGUCCAGAAACAACCGAAAUCAUUUAGUUGUGAUGACUGUGGAAAAAGAUUUAGCCUAAAGUCCAAUUUAACCCGUCAUAUGAGAGUCCACACUGGGCAGAAGCCUUUUGCCUGUGAGCUCUGUGGAUACAGAUGUAGCCAUAAGUCAAAUUUAAAUGAUCACAUAAAAGUCCACACAGGAGAGAAGCCUUUUGCCUGUGAGCUCUGUGGAUACAGAUGUACCCAAAAGGCAAAUGUAACCAAACACAUGAGAGUCCACACAGGAGAGAAGCCUUUUGCCUGUGAGCUCUGUGGAUACAGAUGUACCCAAAAGUCAAAUUUAAAUGAUCACAUGAAAGUCCACACAGGAGAGAAGCCUUUUGCCUGUGAGCUCUGUGAAUACAGAUAUACCCAUAAGGCAAGUUUAAACGCACACAUGAGAGUCCACACAGGAGAGAAGCCUUUUGCCUGUGAGCUCUGUGGAUACAGAUGUACCCAUAAGGCAAGUUUAAACACACACAUGAGAGUCCAUACAGGAGAUAAGCCUUUUGCCUGUGAGCUCUGUGGAUACAGAUGUACCCAAAAGUCAAAUUUAAAUGAUCACAUGAAAGUCCACAAAGGAGAGAAGCCUUUUGCCUGUGAGCUCUGUGGAUACAGAUGUACCCAAAAGGCAAAUUUAACCAAACACAUGAGAGUCCACACAGGAGAGAAGCCUUUUGCCUGUGAGCUUUGUGGAUACAGAUGUACCCAAAAGGCAAGUUUAAACAGACACAUGAGAGUCCACACAGGAGAGAAGCCUUUUGCCUGUGAGCUCUGUGGAUACAGAUAUACCCGUAAGGCAAGUUUAAACACACACAUGAGAGUCCACACAGGAGAGAAGCAUUUUGCCUGUGAGCUCCCGAGAUACAGAUGUACCCAAAAGGCAAAUUUAACCAUACCAAACCAUACCAUUUUAUUUAUAUAGCGCUUUCAACACGGCAUUACAACCAUACAAAGCGCUGCACAAAAAACAGGCAAGAAAACACAAGUUAAAAUAGUCAGGUAGAUGGAAAAUGUAAAAAGGAGCAAAAGAAAUAUAAACAACAGACUAUUAACAGUAAAAGCAAAUAAAAUCAGAAUAUACAAACACAAAAUUAAAAUUGAAUUGACUAGGUGGGACAAUGGAUGAGCUAAGGAGUUAUGGAAUUAAGGAUCGAAUGCGUAAGUGAAGUAGAGGGUCUUCAGACAAGAUUUAAAGACGGCGAUAGAGGAAGCUUGCCUAACCUACAGUGGUAAUGAGUUCCAUAACUUUGGGGCACAGACUGAAAAAGCCCUCUCCCCACGAGUCUUCAAACGUGCCUUAGGGACAGUUAAGAGGAGUUGAUCUUCAGACCUAAGAGCAUGAGGAGGGUGGUAGUAAUGAAGGAGAUCACACAGAUAGGGAGGCGCUUGACCGUUCAAGGAUUUGAACGUGAGAAGUAAAAUUUUAUAAUUGAUCCUGAAUUUAACGGGCAACCAGUGAAGCGUUUUAAGAAUAGGUGAGAUGUGGUGUCUUCUUUCAGCUCCAGUCAAGAACCUUGCUGCAGAAUUCUGAACAAGCUGAUGCCUAGACAAAGCCGCCUCACUGAUACCGUACAAACAGGAGUUUUAAUAAUCCAACCGAGAAGUGAUGAAUGCGUGAAUCACAGAUUCUAGAAGACGGACACUUAGGAUGGACUUUAAUUUUGAAAUAUGUCUAAGAUGGUAAAAGCAGGACCUGACCGUGCUAUUGACCUGAGCAUCCAUCUUCAGAGCAGAAUCUAUUCUUAUUCCAAGGUUGGAAACAACAGAAGUGACAUUAGGCGACAGAUAGUUGAGGUCUGGUUGCUGGGCUGCUCUAACACUAGUUGGACUAAAAACGAUUACCUCUGUUUUGGAGUCGUUCAGAAUUAGGAAGUUGUCAGCCAACCAUUGCUUGACUUCGUGAAGACAAUCAAACAGAGGUUUAGUGGAGUCUUUGGGUUUCAGUGAAAAAUAAAUUUGACAAUCAUCUGCAUAUAGAUGGUAAGACACUGCAUGCUGUUUGAAAACAGCUCCCAAGGGCAGAAUAUAAAUACAGAACAGUAACGGGCCGAGGAUGGAACCUUGAGGAACCCCCCAGGGAAGGGAGAGUGUUUCGGAUGAAUAAUCAUCCAGCAUGACCCUAAGGGACCUGUCAUGGAAGUAAGACCUAAACCAGUCCAGGGCCGAACCUGAGAUGCCAGCCCAAGUCCGUAGUGUAGAGAUCAAGAUGUUGUGAUCAACCGUAUCGAAGGCUGCAGAUAGAUCCAGGCUGUGUCCGAAUCCACGGGUAGGAUGCUUGUGAGUACAGGUCCUCGCCGGUCCAGCAAGACCGAGUCCUUGCUAGACCGCUAAAACCGGAAGUCAGCGGCUCUGAAUUCGGACAGUACUAGCCUCGUUUUUAUUCCCGUCCCCAGGUCCAGUUGCUUAGCUACCGUGACGGCGGCAAACAGGCUAACAAGCUAACAAGCUUGUCAGAGGUGAAAAUGGAUCCACAGCAGUAUUCCCUUUUAUUUUUGGUUUUUGAGGAGCUGCGACUGCUUAGUAAACGUCACCAGCCUUUGUAUUUAAGGCUGAGAAGCAGCCAUAUCCAGAACAGACCCCUGUACUGUAGGAUAAACAUGAGUGUGCCAGUCCUGGACCGGUUUUUUUAACCAGGGAGAUCCCAGGCCAGAUUUUCGUCUGAGCAGGGAGUCUUUUGUGGUGUUGCUAAAUCUCCUGAACCAAGAUCGGCGACAUGGUUGGGGUGCCACAAUCGAGACCCUGGUGUUUCUGUUCUGGUUGGCAAGUGGAACAUCCUACAGGGUGGUCUCAGGAGUAUUU